CCUCGUUGUCUUGUUGCUUAACCACACUUCCCUUACACAAACACGCUUCCCUCAAAAAAAUCAUAACUAAUUUCAUACAAACCCUAAUCAGAAUUGAAAAUGGCACAACGAUCAUAGAUGAUUACGAAUUCCGUGAAUCCGAUGAUGAUGUUCGUAGGGCUGAACAGCUUCGGUCUCACACCGCUUUAUCCUAUGCUCCUCCUGCAUUCAUGCCUAAAAUCAAGGUUGGUAGAUUGAAAUAGAACUGUAAGAAGGUAUCUAUACAAUAAGCUGCCACAAAGAGCUCUGCAGGGACUCCUCACUUCACCCAAGAAAAUCAAGCCAUCAAGAGGCAGGAAAAACUAGACAGGUUUAUGUUCGUGACACACCAAAAACACCAUCUACACGCAACUCAACUCCAAGAAUCACUAGUCCAAAUCCAUUCCAUCUUGACACUGAGGAAAGAGGAGCCGAGAAAAAAAAGAAAUUCAAGAAUUGGAAGAGGAAGCAGCACGGGUUCCAAAGGCUAACCCAAUCCCCUGCACCAUCGACUAUCUCGUGGUACAAAAGUGUUUAUUUUGGUGGUUCAUAAUCUAGUUCAAUUUUUUACGACAUUAUUAUUAAAUCUAUUGAUAAUUUGCAGAAAGCCAGAACCCAAACACUGCACAAAACCUGAGGGAUUUCAAUUGCAGAGUCUAGUAAGACAUGAGGAAGAAAUGCAAAGGGAACAAGAAAAAAUGGAUGACUAGUAAAUUUUGUAUGUUCCACCCAUUUUUUUGUUGGGUGGAAUAUACAAAAUUUACUGGUCAUCCAUUUUUUCUGGUUCCCAUUUCUUCCUUAUGUCUUAUUAGACUCUGCAAUUGAAAUCCCUCAGGUUUUGUGCAGUGUUUGGGUUCUGGCUUUGGUGGGAUCUGCAAAUUAUCAGUAGAUUUAAUAAUAAUGUCGUAAAAAAUUGAACUAGAUUAUGAACCACCAAAAUAAACACUUUUGUACCACGACAUAGUCCGUGGUGCAGGGGAUUGGGUUAGCCUUUGGAAGCCGUGCUGCUUCCUCUUCCAAUUCUUUCUGCAAAAGUCUCAUGUUAAAUUUCUUUUUUUUCUCGGCUCCUCAGUGUGAAGAUGUAAUGGAUUUGGACUAGUGACUCUUGGAGUUGAGUUGCGUGUAGAUGGUGUGUCACGAACAUAAAAAGUUCAAUCAAUAGUUAAAAAAAUGUAUAAGAAUCUAUCUUGACCAAUACCAGAAAACAAAGAGACCUUUUAACAAUUACCUGUCUAGUGUCUAGUUUUUCCUGCCUCUUGAUGGCUUGAUUUUCUUGGGUGAAUUGAGGAGUCCCAGCAGAGCUCUUUGUGGCAGCUGAUUGUAUAGAUACCUUCUUACAAUUCUAUCUCAAUCUACCAACCUUGAUUUUAGGCAUGAAUGUUGCAAAAAAUUUAACAUCCGACCAAGUAAACCCUUUGUACAUCAUAGAAACAAUUAAAACAAUGUCUAAAGCUCAAGUAUGAUUGAUAAACAAAGUUAUCUGGAUGAAACAUAAAAAACUAUGAGGAUCAAAAGCCUUGAAAAGCAAUCUGUUUCAUCUAUGUAUUAUAAGUGCUUUUGCCACAUAAUUUGUUAGGAUAUAUAUAGAAUUGAGAAAUUUUAUAGGACGGACUGUCCAUGUCCGACAGGUUGUUAUUUCCAGCUCAUCUAUCUUAUCUUGUAACCCUUUAAGUGCGUGCAUAUAAAUAAGCAAGAAAUCCAAAACUAAACUCAUCUGGCUUAACACCAAGCUUUGUCAUAAUUCCAAUAACUCUGUCAGCAUCAGGCUUGAAGAGCAGCAUUACAAGCAGAAACAUCAGGUAUCAUAAAGUCCAGCUUGUCAUCGAAAGCAACCCUGCAGUUCUCUUCAAAAAGAGGUAAAAAGGCAGCAAGGUUGUCAUUGUUUCUAGCAAUAUCAACGAGCACGCCGCCCCACGAAUGAAAAGGAAUGAGUAAAGAGAUGGAGUUUCGGAGGAGAAUGAUCUUGUUCUAUAUGGAACAACAUUCAACUUCAUAAGUUUUUUCGCCAUUAUUCAUUUCAUUCAACCAUGUUUUGCGUUUUCGAUUUAUGCUCCUUUCAUUCUUCACUGAUGGGUUCGUGGCAUUUGCGUACUUUUCAUUAAGAACAAUUGAAUUAUAUUAAUCUAUUAUCAGUUCAUAAAUAAGAAGCUGGAAUAGCUCAGUUGGUUAGUGUGUGUGGCUCUAACCACAAGGUCAGAGGUUCAACCCUUCCUUUUAGCGACUUUUCAUUUUUUUUGUAUUUAUUUUUCUUCUAAUAUUUUUUUGUUUUAUUUUUCUUCA